CAAAUGCUCCUCCCUCUUCUGAAAUGUCGAGUUCACAAUCAGAAGCUCGGAAGCCCUGGCGAAAUCAAGCAGUGACGUGCCUCAUCCGUUCCUAACCCCAAAGCCGAAACCACCGUGCACCUCACCAUAACCAUCAGCAUCAGCCCCAAUAUGACCAUUAAAGUCCCCUCCAAUAACUAACUUCUCGGAUUGGGGAAUACUACUUACCAGAUCAUCCAAGUCCUCCCAAAAGCGCCUCUUUGUCUCCUCGUCUAAGCCCGCUUGUGGCGCAUAAGCGCUGAUGACGUUGAGGACGCAACCCCCG
rnacentral:lncRNA from 1 species